CUUGACCGAGCCGAGCCACAGCGGGUGCUCGGCAGGCCGGUUCUGGCCGUAGGUGGCGAGGAUCGCCUGCGCCUC
rnacentral:antisense_RNA from 1 species